rnacentral:sRNA from 1 species
CCGGAUGUCGGCAAGGGCCCGGCCAAAGGCGUCGGGUCCUGGCCCGAUGGGACUUGUAUCCACGUUGCUCAACGAGGAUGUGGUAUGAGAA